GAUGAACGCUGGCGGCGUGCCUAAUACAUGCAAGUCGAGCGAACAGACGAGGAGCUUGCUCCUCUGACGUUAGCGGCGGACGGGUGAGUAACACGUGGAUAACCUACCUAUAAGACUGGGAUAACUUCGGGAAACCGGAGCUAAUACCGGAUAAUAUAUUGAACCGCAUGGUUCAAUAGUGAAAGACGGUUUUGCUGUCACUUAUAGAUGGAUCCGCGCCGCAUUAGCUAGUUGGUAAGGUAACGGCUUACCAAGGCAACGAUGCGUAGCCGACCUGAGAGGGUUGUCGGCCCAACUGGAAAUGAGACACGGUCCCGACUCCUAAGGGAAGCAGCAGUAGGGAAACUUCCGGAAAGGGCGGAAGGCUGAAGGAGCAACGCCGCGUGAGUGAUGAAGGUCUUCGGAUCGUAAAACUCUGUUAUUAGGGAAAAACAAAUGUGUAAGUAACUAUGCACGUCUUGACGGUACCUAAACAGAAAGCCACGGCUAACUACGUG
rnacentral:rRNA from 1 species